CAGUAGCCGCGGUAAUACGUAGGGUGCAAGCGUUAAUCGGAAUUACUGGGCGUAAAGCGUGCGCAGGCGGUUUUGUAAGACAGAUGUGAAAUCCCCGGGCUCAACCUGGGAACUGCAUUUGUGACUGGCAAGCUAGAGUCUGGCAGAGGGGGGUGGAAUUCCGCGUGUAGCAGUGAAAUGCGUAGAUAUGCGGAGGAACACCGAUGGCGAAGGCAGCCCCCUGGGCCAACACUGACGCUCAUGCACGAAAGCGUGGGGAGCAAACAGGAUUAGAUACCCCUGUAGUCCCUGUCUCUUAUAU
rnacentral:rRNA from 1 species